rnacentral:rRNA from 1 species
GGACGAACGCUGGCGGCGUGCCUAAUACAUGCAAGUCGAGCGGACCUUUAGAAGCUUGCUUCUGAAGGUUAGCGGCGGACGGGUGAGUAACACGUGGGCAACCUGCCCUAUAGUUGGGGAUAACUCCGGGAAACCGGGGCUAAUACCGAAUAAUUCAUUUCAUCACAUGUUGAAAUGAUGAAAGAUGGUUCUGCUAUCGCUAUAGGAUGGGCCCGCGGCGCAUUAGCUAGUUGGUGAGGUAACGGCUCACCAAGGCGACGAUGCGUAGCCGACCUGAGAGGGUGAUCGGCCACACUGGGACUGAGACACGGCCCAGACUCCUACGGGAGGCAGCAGUAGGGAAUCUUCCACAAUGGACGAAAGUCUGAUGGAGCAACGCCGCGUGAGUGAAGAAGGUUUUCGGAUCGUAAAACUCUGUUGUAAGGGAAGAACAAGUACAGUAGUAACUGACUGUACCUUGACGGUACCUUAUUAGAAAGCCACGGGUUACUACGUGCCAGCAGCCGCGGUAAUACGUAGGUGGCAAGCGUUAUCCGGAAUUAUUGGGCGUAAAGCGCGCGCAGGCGGUCCUUUAAGUCUGAUGUGAAAGCCCAAGGCUCAACCGUGGAGGGUCAUU